AAAUUGAAGAGUUUGAUCAUGGCUCAGAUUGAACGCUGGCGGCAGGCCUAACACAUGCAAGUCGAACGGUAACAGGAAGCAGCUUGCUGCUUUGCUGACGAGUGGCGGACGGGUGAGUAAUGUCUGGGAAACUGCCUGAUGGAGGGGGAUAACUACUGGAAACGGUGGCUAAUACCGCAUAACGUCGCAAGACCAAAGAGGGGGACCUUCGGGCCUCUUGCCAUCAGAUGUGCCCAGAUGGGAUUAGCUUGUUGGUGAGGUAACGGCUCACCAAGGCGACGAUCCCUAGCUGGUCUGAGAGGAUGACCAGCCACACUGGAACUGAGACACGGUCCAGACUCCUACGGGAGGCAGCAGUGGGGAAUAUUGCACAAUGGGCGCAAGCCUGAUGCAGCCAUGCCGCGUGUAUGAAGAAGGCCUUCGGGUUGUAAAGUACUUUCAGCGGGGAGGAAGGUGUUGUGGUUAAUAACCACAGCAAUUGACGUUACCCGCAGAAGAAGCACCGGCUAACUCCGUGCCAGCAGCC
rnacentral:rRNA from 1 species